GUGCUCGCUUCGGCAGCCCAUAUACUAAAAUUGGAACGAUACAGAGAAGAUUAGCAUGGCCCCUGUGCAAGGAUGACACAGACAGACUGGUAAAAGAAGCCUUACCU